AAGAGCCAUCUCCAGAUGUAUAGAACAGUGAAGAGCACUGACAGAGAAGGACAAGGAGGGAAUGGUCGAGGUGCUGAAAUGGGGAUGAAUAAUGCUGCUUCUCAGUGGAGUGGAAGAGAGGUGGAAGCAGAAGAAGUGGAGGGAGGAGUACUAUUGCAGGGGCAAUAUGAUCAGAUCAGCACCCAUUGCUAUGCCUUACCAACAACAACACCACCACCACUGUCCAACUCUUCAAGGUUGAUUAUGACCGAAUGAGUGCCAUAGAUAGAUAGCAUUAUUAUCAUGAUGAGUAAACUUUGUCUUGUUAUUUAUUGUCAGCAGUGGGUUGCGUCCAUCUUUGGAGAGGACUGCUUGGAACCCAUCAAUCAGACUAAAUAAUGCAUUAUCAUAUCCUUACUUCAGAGGGGAUCAUUUGCUGCACAGUGACAGCCAGAUGGAAGAUCAACCAAACAUCAAUCCUUUUCCUGUUGCAGCUGAUGGAGGGAGGGCACCUCCUAACCUUGAGAUAACAUUAGGCAGAUAAAAUUGGCAAAUGCAGCUUUUCAGUGUCCCAGUUUAUGAAGUUUUAGUUGG